rnacentral:rRNA from 1 species
UACGAAGGGGGCUAGCGUUGCUCGGAAUCACUGGGCGUAAAGCGCACGUAGGCGGACUCUUAAGUCGGUGGUGAAAUCCUGGAGCUCAACUCCAGAACUGCCUUUGAUACUGGCGAUCUUAGAGUCCGGGAGAGGUGAGUGGAACUCCGAGUGUAGAGGUGAAAUUCGUAGAUAUUCGCAAGAACACCAAUGGCGAAGGCAGCUUCUUGGUCCAUUUCUGACGUUCAUGCACGGAAAGCGUGGGGAGCAAACAGGGAU